rnacentral:rRNA from 1 species
GCUGGCGGCAGGCUUAACACAUGCAAGUCGAGCGCCCCGCAAGGGGAGCGGCAGACGGGUGAGUAACGCGUGGGAAUCUACCCAUCACUACGGAACAACUCCGGGAAACUGGAGCUAAUACCGUAUACGUCCUUCGGGAGAAAGAUUUAUCGGUGAUGGAUGAGCCCGCGUUGGAUUAGCUAGUUGGUGGGGUAAAGGCCAACCAAGGCGACGAUCCAUAGCUGGUCUGAGAGGAUGAUCAGCCACAUUGGGACUGAGACACGGCCCAAACUCCUACGGGAGGCAGCAGUGGGGAAUAUUGGACAAUGGGCGCAAGCCUGAUCCAGCCAUGCCGCGUGAGUGAUGAAGGCCCUAGGGUUGUAAAGCUCUUUCACCGGAGAAGAUAAUGACGGUAUCCGGAGAAGAAGCCCCGGCUAACUUCGUGCCAGCAGCCGCGGUAAUACGAAGGGGGCUAGCGUUGUUCGGAUUUACUGGGCGUAAAGCGCACGUAGGCGGAUCGAUCAGUCAGGGGUGAAAUCCCAGAGCUCAACUCUGGAACUACCUUUGAUACUGUCGAUCUGGAGUAUGGAAGAGGUGAGUGGAAUUCCGAGUGUAGAGGUGAAAUUCGUAGAUAUUCGGAGGAACACCAGUGGCGAAGGCGGCUCACUGGUCCAUUACUGACGCUGAGGUGCGAAAGCGUGG